GCUGCUGGGCCACCCAGACUAAGUGAGCCAGCACAGCAGGAGAUGAGGACUGAGUGUGCAGAAACCGAACCACCUUCUGCAACCCAGGGCAGGGGCAGGACAAGGCACAGGACGGAGGCCAUCUCAGCACCCUCGGAUGUUUGUAAGAUAUCACAGCUACACAUAGCAUCCUUACCACUUCUGUAAGAGUGAUGAGGCGAAGAGAGAAGACAGCGGAAAGCAGCUAGAAGACAAGGAUGAGGCCUUUGUCACCUAGGAGUCCAGAAAGCAACAAAGCUCACAGCCCAAGGCAUCACAACUUAUUGAACAAAUUUGCUGCUGAGAAAGGAAAACCCAGGAACUGUGUGGGAAACAAAUCUAACUUGCAGGAUCCUCAGAAGAAAAACGAAACAAAACAAAACAAAAUACAGAACCUGUUUGCAUCAAGAGAGAAGCAAGAGACCAGUCCAGGCUAGGGGCAGUGGAAAUACAU